rnacentral:rRNA from 1 species
CAGCCGCCGCGGGAAUACGAAGGGGGCUAGCGUUGUUCGGAUUUACUGGGCGUAAAGCGCACGUAGGCGGACUUUUAAGUCAGGGGUGAAAUCACGGGGCUCAACCCCGGAACUGCCUUUGAUACUGGAAGUCUUGAGUAUGGUAGAGGUGAGUGGAAUUCCGAGUGUAGAGGUGAAAUUCGUAGAUAUUCGGAGGAACACCAGUGGCGAAGGCGGCUCACUGGACCAUUACUGACGCUGAGGUGCAAAAGCGUGGGGAGCAAACAGGAUUAGAUACCCCCGUAGUCCCUGUCUCUUAUAC